CUAGAAUCUAGAUCAAGUCAUGGCAACAUUUGUGAAUAUCGUAAACUAUGCAGAAAUAACGGCACUUGUUCACCACUACCUCCAAUCAUGUUCGAACAUUCAAAUGUGAGUGUGCUGCCACAGGUUACUAUGGUGACAGAAUGUCCAAAAGAUUUGUCAGCUAAGGAGCCUAAAAUGUUGGCCUGUUUACAAGUAUGAGAUCUUCCUUAACUACACAAGUACCUUACCGAAGAAGGCUACUCACUUGCGUUUGGAUAUGCCUGCUGUACCAAGGCUCACAUAGACUGGAUAUUUAUAUAGCCUAAUAUUAUGUUACUGAUAAUUAUUGCAUGUCCUGUACAAGCCUCAAUGACUUUAAGUUAAUUAAAGAUAUUCAUGAUUAUAAGAUAAGUAGAAUACAUCAAAGAUGCCGGUACCGGUAUUAAAACAAGAAAAAGUAGGCAACUGUAUAGCUUACUUUUCUACUAUCUAUAAUGUUUGUAGAUUCUAAAGUUAGAAAGUGUCUUUUUUUAAUGACACAUUGCCUGUCAAUUUUGUUUAGUUUGAUCUUUUUUUUUAAUAUAGUGCCUAUCACCCUAAGUGAUGGUCAAGCUCAACAGAUAUUAUUAUAAGCAGCUUUUUUUUCUGGGUAUUAUUCAACCACAGAAGCUGUGAGGGAUAUCUGAAAUCCAUUGCUUACUUGUCUAGCAGAAAGAUUUCCAUCCAUUUAGUGAUAAAAGAUUAAGUGUACACAAGUUUUAGUAGUCACCACAUAACACUUACAUUGUGAUGU